UGGUGGGUAGUUUGACUGGGGCGGUCUCCUCCUAAAGAGUAACGGAGGAGCACGAAGGUUGGCUAAUCCUGGUCGGACAUCAGGAGGUUAGUGCAAUGGCAUAAGCCAGCUUGACUGCGAGCGUGACGGCGCGAGCAGGUGCGAAAGCAGGUCAUAGUGAUCCGGUGGUUCUGAAUGGAAGGGCCAUCGCUCAACGGAUAAAAGGUACUCCGGGGAUAACAGGCUGAUACCGCCCAAGAGUUCAUAUCGACGGCGGUGUUUGGCACCUCGAUGUCGGCUCAUCACAUCCUGGGGCUGAAGUAGGUCCCAAGGGUAUGGCUGUUCGCCAUUUAAAGUGGUACGCGAGCUGGGUUUAGAACGUCGUGAGACAGUUCGGUCCCUAUCUGCCGUGGGCGCUGGAGAACUGAGGGGGGCUGCUCCUAGUACGAGAGGACCGGAGUGGACGCAUCACUGGUGUUCGGGUUGUCAUGCCAAUGGCACUGCCCGGUAGCUAAAUGCGGAAGAGAUAAGUGCUGAAAG
rnacentral:rRNA from 4 species